GACGAACGCUGGCGGCGUGCUUAACACAUGCAAGUCGAGCGGUAAGGCCCUUUCGGGGGUACACGAGCGGCGAACGGGUGAGUAACACGUGGGUGACCUGCCCUUAGCUUUGGGAUAAGCCUGGGAAACUGGGUCUAAUACCGGAUAUGACUCCAUAACGCAUGUUGUGGGGUGGAAAGCCUUGUGCGGCUAGGGAUGGGCCCGCGGCCUAUCAGCUUGUUGGUGGGGUGAUGGCCUACCAAGGCGACGACGGGUAGCCGGCCUGAGAGGGCGACCGGCCACACUGGGACUGAGACACGGCCCAGACUCCUACGGGAGGCAGCAGUGGGGAAUCUUGCGCAAUGGGCGAAAGCCUGACGCAGCGACGCCGCGUGGGGA
rnacentral:rRNA from 1 species